AUUGCUUCUCCGCCUUUUGGCUGAGAUCGAGUGUAGCAUCUGUUCUUUACCGGCUUAACAUCUGAUACCUCCUCUAUCUGGGAACAAUACUGUUACGGGAGUUUUGGGGGCAAGCAGUUGGCAUCGGAGCCUGCUCUGUGUUGCAGCACUUCCCAGGAAUGGUGCAUUCUCUCUGAGGACAAAACCGGCA
ensembl:snRNA U2 U2 spliceosomal RNA